rnacentral:rRNA from 1 species
AUGUACUUAGCCAGUGCUACAAGACCUGACAUCUCUUUUGCUGUUAGCAAACUGAGCCGGUUUUUCUCAAAACCAGGAGAUGUGCAUUGGAAAGCUCUAGAUAGAGUUUUGCAUUAUUUGAAAGGCACUGCAAAUUAUGGAAUUCACUACACCGGGCACCCAAAGGUGCUUGAAGGGUAUAGUGACUCAAACUGGAUCUCAGAUGCUGAUGAGAUAAAGGCCACGAGCGGAUAUGUAUUCACUUAUGGAGGUGGCGCUAUUUCUUGGAAGUCUUGCAAGCAGACCAUCUUAAUGAGGUCAACAAUGGAAGCAGAACUCACAGCACUAGAUACAGCUACGGUCGAAGCAGAUUGGCUUCGUCGGCUCUUGAAUGACUUGCCGGUAGUUGAGAAACCUGUACCGGGUAUCCUUAUGAACCGUGACAAUCAAACUGUG